UUAAGCGACUAAGCGUACACGGUGGAUGCCCUGGCAGUCAGAGGCGAUGAAGGACGUGCUAAUCUGCGAUAAGCGUCGGUAAGGUGAUAUGAACCGUUAUAACCGGCGAUUUCCGAAUGGGGAAACCCAGUGUGAUUCGUCACACUAUCAUUAACUGAAUCCAUAGGUUAAUGAGGCGAACCGGGGGAACUGAAACAUCUAAGUACCCCGAGGAAAAGAAAUCAACCGAGAUUCCCUCAGUAGCGGCGAGCGAACGGGGAGGAGCCCAGAGCCUGAAUCAGUGUGUGUGUUAGUGGAAGCGUCUGGAAAGGCGCGCGAUACAGGGUGACAGCCCCGUACACAAAAAUGCACAUGCUGUGAGCUCGAUGAGUAGGGCGGGACACGUGGUAUCCUGUCUGAAUAUGGGGGGACCAUCCUCCAAGGCUAAAUACUCCUGACUGACCGAUAGUGAACCAGUACCGUGAGGGAAAGGCGAAAAGAACCCCGGCGAGGGGAGUGAAAAAGAACCUGAAACCGUGUACGUACAAGCAGUGGGAGCCUCUUUAUGGGGUGACUGCGUACCUUUUGUAUAAUGGGUCAGCGACUUAUAUUCUGUAGCAAGGUUAACCGAAUAGGGGAGCCGAAGGGAAACCGAGUCUUAACUGGGCGUUAAGUUGCAGGGUAUAGACCCGAAACCCGGUGAUCUAGCCAUGGGCAGGUUGAAGGUUGGGUAACACUAACUGGAGGACCGAACCGACUAAUGUUGAAAAAUUAGCGGAUGACUUGUGGCUGGGGGUGAAAGGCCAAUCAAACCGGGAGAUAGCUGGUUCUCCCCGAAAGCUAUUUAGGUAGCGCCUCGUGAAUUCAUCUCCGGGGGUAGAGCACUGUUUCGGCAAGGGGGUCAUCCCGACUUACCAACCCGAUGCAAACUGCGAAUACCGGAGAAUGUUAUCACGGGAGACACACGGCGGGUGCUAACGUCCGUCGUGAAGAGGGAAACAACCCAGACCGCCAGCUAAGGUCCCAAAGUCAUGGUUAAGUGGGAAACGAUGUGGGAAGGCCCAGACAGCCAGGAUGUUGGCUUAGAAGCAGCCAUCAUUUAAAGAAAGCGUAAUAGCUCACUGGUCGAGUCGGCCUGCGCGGAAGAUGUAACGGGGCUAAACCAUGCACCGAAGCUGCGGCAGCGACGCUUAUGCGUUGUUGGGUAGGGGAGCGUUCUGUAAGCCUGCGAAGGUGUGCUGUGAGGCAUGCUGGAGGUAUCAGAAGUGCGAAUGCUGACAUAAGUAACGAUAAAGCGGGUGAAAAGCCCGCUCGCCGGAAGACCAAGGGUUCCUGUCCAACGUUAAUCGGGGCAGGGUGAGUCGACCCCUAAGGCGAGGCCGAAAGGCGUAGUCGAUGGGAAACAGGUUAAUAUUCCUGUACUUGGUGUUACUGCGAAGGGGGGACGGAGAAGGCUAUGUUGGCCGGGCGACGGUUGUCCCGGUUUAAGCGUGUAGGCUGGUUUUCCAGGCAAAUCCGGAAAAUCAAGGCUGAGGCGUGAUGACGAGGCACUACGGUGCUGAAGCAACAAAUGCCCUGCUUCCAGGAAAAGCCUCUAAGCAUCAGGUAACAUCAAAUCGUACCCCAAACCGACACAGGUGGUCAGGUAGAGAAUACCAAGGCGCUUGAGAGAACUCGGGUGAAGGAACUAGGCAAAAUGGUGCCGUAACUUCGGGAGAAGGCACGCUGAUAUGUAGGUGAAGCGACUUGCUCGUGGAGCUGAAAUCAGUCGAAGAUACCAGCUGGCUGCAACUGUUUAUUAAAAACACAGCACUGUGCAAACACGAAAGUGGACGUAUACGGUGUGACGCCUGCCCGGUGCCGGAAGGUUAAUUGAUGGGGUUAGCGGUAACGCGAAGCUCUUGAUCGAAGCCCCGGUAAACGGCGGCCGUAACUAUAACGGUCCUAAGGUAGCGAAAUUCCUUGUCGGGUAAGUUCCGACCUGCACGAAUGGCGUAAUGAUGGCCAGGCUGUCUCCACCCGAGACUCAGUGAAAUUGAACUCGCUGUGAAGAUGCAGUGUACCCGCGGCAAGACGGAAAGACCCCGUGAACCUUUACUAUAGCUUGACACUGAACAUUGAGCCUUGAUGUGUAGGAUAGGUGGGAGGCUUUGAAGUGUGGACGCCAGUCUGCAUGGAGCCGGCCUUGAAAUACCACCCUUUAAUGUUUGAUGUUCUAACGUUGGCCCCUGAUCGGGGUUGCGGACAGUGUCUGGUGGGUAGUUUGACUGGGGCGGUCUCCUCCUAAAGAGUAACGGAGGAGCACGAAGGUUGGCUAAUCCUGGUCGGACAUCAGGAGGUUAGUGCAAUGGCAUAAGCCAGCUUGACUGCGAGCGUGACGGCGCGAGCAGGUGCGAAAGCAGGUCAUAGUGAUCCGGUGGUUCUGAAUGGAAGGGCCAUCGCUCAACGGAUAAAAGGUACUCCGGGGAUAACAGGCUGAUACCGCCCAAGAGUUCAUAUCGACGGCGGUGUUUGGCACCUCGAUGUCGGCUCAUCACAUCCUGGGGCUGAAGUAGGUCCCAAGGGUAUGGCUGUUCGCCAUUUAAAGUGGUACGCGAGCUGGGUUUAGAACGUCGUGAGACAGUUCGGUCCCUAUCUGCCGUGGGCGCUGGAGAACUGAGGGGGGCUGCUCCUAGUACGAGAGGACCGGAGUGGACGCAUCACUGGUGUUCGGGUUGUCAUGCCAAUGGCACUGCCCGGUAGCUAAAUGCGGAAGAGAUAAGUGCUGAAAGCAUCUAAGCACGAAACUUGCCCCGAGAUGAGUUCUCCCUGAGACUUUAAGUCUCCUGAAGGAACGUUGAAGACGACGACGUUGAUAGGCCGGGUGUGUAAGCGCAGCGAUGCGUUGAGCUAACCGGUACUAAUGAACCGUGAGGCUUAACCUU
rnacentral:rRNA from 1 species